rnacentral:rRNA from 1 species
UACGUAGGGUGCAAGCGUUGUCCGGAAUUAUUGGGCGUAAAGGGUGCGUAGGCGGCCUGACAAGUCUGAUGUGAAAUCCCUGGGCUCAACCCAGGGCCUGCAUCGGAAACUGUCGGGCUUGAGUAUGGGAGAGGUGAGUGGAAUUUCCGGUGUAGCGGUGAAAUGCGUAGAGAUCGGGAGGAACAUCAGUGGCGAAGGCGGCCAUCUGGGACAACACUGACGCUGAGGCACGAAAGCGUGGGGAGCAAACAGG